rnacentral:rRNA from 1 species
CCUACGGGCUGCAGCAGUGGGGAAUAUUGGACAAUGGGCGAAAGCCUGAUCCAGCCAUGCCGCGUGUGUGAAGAAGGCCUUCGGGUUGUAAAGCACUUUCAGUGGGGAAGAAAGCCUUGGGGCUAAUACCCUCGAGGAAGGACAUCACCCACAGAAGAAGCACCGGCUAACUCCGUGCCAGCAGCCGCGGUAAUACGGAGGGUGCGAGCGUUAAUCGGAAUUACUGGGCGGAAAGCGCGCGUAGGCGGUCUGAUAAGCCGGUUGUGAAAGCCCCGGGCUCAACCUGGGAACGGCAUCCGGAACUGUCAGGCUAGAGUGCAGGAGAGGAAGGUAGAAUUCCCGGUGUAGCGGUGAAAUGCGUAGAGAUCGGGAGGAAUACCAGUGGCGAAGGCGGCCUUCUGGACUGACACUGACGCUGAGGUGCGAAAGCGUGGGUAGCAAACAGGAUUAGAUACCCCGGUAGUC